CUAGAACAGAGACGUGCACAUGAUUAUACAGGGGCAGGGGCUCAAGUUUUUUCCAGUUGUUUAUACAAUAUGGAAAUUAAUGUGAAAUUAAAAAACAAAGUAUUAAUAGAAAGGUAAUGACUGUCCUGAGUAGGUGACAGUGAUAUCCAAUAGGCUAGGCACUCAAGAGGCUGGCUGUGGCAAGUGUAAGUGAAAGCAACACGCACUGGCAGGAAGAACAGCAAACGCCGAUGAAGGAAAAGGGUCUUUGCAGUGAUGGGCGUUACCAGAGAGGGCGAUGGCCAGAGGACACAAAUGGGACGGGGAGGCAGCGCGUUGGGGGGGGGACGCGACACAGCUCGGGCCCGCCAGUGCCCCAACGGGGUCCUAGUUCUUUCUUUCUUCUUUUUCCUCCCCUUUGAACUGGAAAAUGGCCCACUUCCCUCUGGCGAAAACUCAUGAAAUUUGGCAGGACGACCGGGCCUGGUGAAAAAUUCGAUAUUCUGAAGUCGCCCAAACAAUAAAAUGCAAAAUGGCUCCAUAGCGCCCCCUAAGGUGGAAAUUCACACUAUUGACUGUCACGCCUGUACGCUUUGUCAUAUUGACACAAAAAUUGACACACAUAUGUAUCUCAAUAAGAUCUACAAAAAAGUCAGUGCGGCCGUAUCUGUCAAAAUUACGGUUAAAGGGUUAUUUCGCAUUUUUUGCCGAUCCGCACACAUUGGAAUUUCGCUAACUCCUCCGAAGGCUUUCGUUCCACCGGCACCACAUUUGCUCAGGCCAAUCUACACCCCGUGGCCAUUAAAAGUUAUCAAAAUCAUGACGCUGCACCCCAAGGUUUAGGUUCUAGGGGGCGCCAAAGAUAACACUAAAAUCCACAUAUUUUAAAGUCUUAUAACUUUUUAUUUUUGUCCUCACUGGCCUCCAAGUUUUCUAGGAUGAUGCAAUGUCCAGCCAUCAACACAUUUGUGAAGGAAUUUUUACUCCCCAAAAGAGCGCCCCCCCAUGGCAGGAGAAAAAAGUCCAUUUUUUCUUGUCGCCUAAGGUGAAAAUACACAUUGUUGAGUGUCACGCCUAUACGCUUUGUCAAAAUGACACAAAAAUUGACACACACAUGUAACUCAAUAAGAUCUACAAAAAAGUCCAUGCGCGCGUAUCUGUCAAAUGUACAGUUAAAGGGUUAUUCCGCAUUUUUUGCCGAUACGCACGCAUUGGAAUUACGCUAACUCCUCCGAAGGCUUUCGUUCCACCGGCACCAUAUUUGCUCAGGCCAAUCUACACCCCAUGGCCAUUGAAAGUUAUUCAAAUCAUGAUGCUGCACCCCAUGGUUUAGGUUCUAGGGGGCGCCAAAAAUAACCCAAAAAUCCACAUUCUUAAAUGUUUUAUAACUUUUUAUUUUUGUCCUCACUGGCCUCCAAGUUUUCUAGGAUGAUGCAAUGUCCAGCCAUCAACACAUUUGUGAAGGAAUUUUUACUCCCCAAAAGAGCGCCCCCCCAUGGUAGGAGAAAAAAGUCAAUUUUUUCUUGUCCCCUUACAUAAAAAUACACAUUGUUGAGUGUCACGCCUCAACGCUUUGUCAUAUUGACACAAAAAUUGACAAUCAUGUGUAUCUCAAUUAGAUCUACGAAAAAGUCAAAGAGCGCGUAUCUGUAUAAUGUACGGUUAAAGGGCUAUUUUGCAUUUUUUGCCGAUUCGCACACAUUGGAAUGUGGCUAUCUCCUCCUAAGGCUUUCGUCCCACCAAUACCAAAUUUGCUCAGGCCAAUCUACACCCCAUGGCCAUUCAAAGUUGUAAAAAUCAUGACGCUGCACCCCACGGUUUACGUUCUAGGGGGCGCCAAAGAUGACCCAAAAAUCCACAUUCUUAAAAGUCAUUUUGGCCACUGCAGGAGUACAGAGUACUGCAGUUCUAGGGGGCGCCAAAGAUGACCCAAAAAUCCACAUUCUUAAAAGUCUUUUUGGCCACUGCAGGAGUACAGAGUACUGCAGGAUACACACACAUAUACACACACGCCAACAUACACACACACACACACACACACACACACACACACACACAGACACACACACACACUCAGAGUCUGUUUUUUAGCACCUGCAAAAACAUGCUGUUUACAUAUUUGACAAGAAUGCAGAGGCUUCCUUUUGCCCCUGAAAAAAAUCAAAUUUCAAACACAACUUGACUGUUCAUUUCUCCAAAAGACAACCAUGAAGCUCCAUUUCAAACCUGAAGCAGAUAGUUGGUGCAUGUGUACAGUAACCUGAGGGGAGUGAGGUGACUAUUUCUGAGGAGAACAUGAGCAGUGAAGAUUCACCUUGGAGCUAGAACAGGGACGUGCACAUGAUUAUACAGGGGCAGGGGCUCAAGUUUUUUCCAGUCAUUUAUACAAUAUGGAAAUUAAUGUGAAAUUAAACCACAAAUAUGUGUGAUGAACUGUUUUUAAAACUUAAACUUCAAAUAAAAAUUGUAAACUUCAAAACAUAUGCAAAUUUUUAACAAAGAACAUAGUAAUUUACCUCUAUUUACAUCAAAAUGCAGGCAAUGGCCCAGGCGUUCUUUGUAAAAUUAUUUACAAAACACUGUAUAGUCUCACAAAUGUCACUUUUUAUUUAUGCCACUACAAAAAAACAUGAUGUAAAUGAUGCAUGAUGUAAAACAUGAUGUAAAAAACUUGUGUAGAUCCUCCUCUAUGUCAGUCCAUGUGUAAUUUUUCCAUAAUUCUUUGUUUUUUGCAGCAUUUUUGUUAGUGUAACUGCAGAUUGUGCUGACAGUGUCUAUGGCACAAAAAAAAAAAAAAAAUUAAAAUGCCUCAACAUGAACCCCUGGUGGUCUCUGAGGGUGAAACCUGCUAACUGCUGCAGCUCUGUCAGCUUCAGUCUCCCAUGCAGAGCUCUGAGCGCAUGUGUGGCUCUGCACCCUUAGCAGCGUUGCUAACUCCUCAGUAAGGAAAGCCUGCUUCAUGUCAGAGUCUCUAAACUCCAGAAGAAGUUGAUAAAAGUCCCUUUCUUUCUAAAAAAAAGUCGUUAGGGGGUCUGAAAAGUCAUUGAAUCUAACAACAAAGUCGCUAGGUUUGCAACUACGUGUCCCAGACUGCAUCCCUGCUGAGAGUCCCUCCCUCCCUUCUCAUGUUGCAGGAAGAACGUAAGCGCCCGCCCCUUGUCAAUCAGUCACCAUAUAAUUUUGGAUUGGUUGUUGUGGUGAAGUUUUCCACCAAUAGGAGAGAUGUUGUGGUGUGUUUUUUUUUUCUUUUGGCAAGCCUUUUCCGCCUGUAAGACCUGUCGCUAAUGUCUGCAUGCUAUGUUUUCCUGUCUCAUACAGCGCGAUCGAGCGCCGAACGUGAUCAAAAUAAGCAGAAAACAAGUAUCGCGGACAUAAUUUAUCAUAACUCUGGUUUUAUUUGGCCUAUCAACACAAUUUAAAAACUGGUAUAUAGGUUGAGGUCCUCACUUUUGAGAUAAGUUGAAACGGAGAGUCAACGAGGCUCCGUCUUGCAGCUACAUCCGGUUAAAUAUGUCAUGUGACUUGAACGCACACAUAGACGCACACACACACACACACACACACACACACACACACACACACACACACUCAGAGUCUGGGUUUUAGCACUUGCAAAAACAUGCUAUUUACAUAUUUGACAAGAAUGCAGAGGCUCCUUUUGCCCCUGAAAAAAAUCAAAUUUCAAACACAACCUGACUGGUCAUUUCUCCAAAAGACAACCAUGAAGCUCCAUCCAAACCUGAAGCAGGCAGUUGGUGCAUGUGUACAGUAACCUGAGGGGAGUGAGGUGAGUGCUUCUGAGGAGAACAUGAGCAGUGAAGAUUCACCUUGGAGCUAGAACAGAGACAUGCACAUGAUUAUACAGGGGCAGGGGCUCAAGUUUUUUCCAGUCGUUUAUACAAUAUGGAAAUUAAUGUGAAAUUAAAACACAAAGUAUUAAUAGAAAGGUAAUGACUGUCCUGUGUAGGUGACAGUGUUAUCAAAUAGGCUAGGCACUCACGAGGCUGGCUGUGGCAAGUGUAAGUGAAAGCAACACGCACUGGCAGGAAGAACAGCAAACGCCGAUGAAGGAAAAGGGUCUUUGCAGUGAUGGGCGUUACCAGAG